rnacentral:misc_RNA from 1 species
AACGCACAUUGCGCCCAUUAGUAUUCUAGUGGGCAUGCCUGUUCGAGCGUCAUUUCAACCCUCAAGCCCUAGUUGCUUGGUGUUGGGGCCCUGGGAAGCUUAUACUCUCCAGGCCUCGAAAGACAGUGGCGGGCGCCCCGCGACCCCGAGCGUAGUAAUUUCGUCUCGUUUAGGGAGUCCGGUGGUGCUUGGCCGUUAAACCCCCAAUCUUUCUGAAUUUUGACCUCGGAUCAGGUAGGAAUACCCGCUGAACUUAA